UACGGAGGGAGCUAGCGUUGUUCGGAUAUACUGGGCGUAAAGCGCACGUAGGCGGCGCCGUAAGUCAGGGGUGAAAUCCCGGAGCUCAACUCCGGAACUGCCCUUGAAACUGCAGUGCUAGAAUCCUGGAGAGGCGAGUGGAAUUCCGAGUGUAGAGGUGAAAUUCGUAGAUAUUCGGAAGAACACCAGUGGCGAAGGCGACUCGCUGGACAGGUAUUGACGCUGAGGUGCGAAAGCGUGGGGAGCGAACAGG
rnacentral:rRNA from 1 species